GAAUUCUCCCAUAGUGCUACUGUAAAACAUUGACAUGUGUUUAUAUCUAUAUGAAUAAUAUUAUAUCUCUGUGAUUGAAAAAAAUUCAAAACGUAAUAAACCAAAUUAUUGCUGGCUGAAGGUGGUAUGGGACACUUCCAUGUUGUGAAGUACUACCGGUAUAUAUCAAAAUAAACAAUAAAGUAAAGUGUAAAAUUAUAAAUAGUUUCUUUCCCAAAAUUGUCACCUAGCUGACAGUGUAGCACAGUAGGUUAGUGGGUUCACUACAUAUCUGUAAGUCAGGAGCUUGAACCCCGCUGGGGUAUUUUGAAAUUUUUACCUUUCCAAAAAAAUUUAAACAUGUUUUGGUUGAAUAUUGUAAAAUUGAAAAUUCUAAAGGGUUGAAGGUAUUUUAAUUAUAAUGUACUUUAAUCCACAUUGAUAUUGAAAGAUGUUCCAUACCACCUGUCCGUAAUAUCCUAUAUCAAACCUUUGUAGUAGUGAUAUGAACAUGAUUGUACUGUAUAUUCUGUAAACCUGAGUACAUGUAUCAAAUGAAAAGUACCCUCAGACAAAAGUAGCUUUAUACAUUGGAGACGGGUAAAAACUAUUUAAUUUAAGAAAUAUUUGUGAUUACUGUAUUAACAAGAAAAAUGCAACCCUACAUUAAAUGAUUGGUAAUCAAAUUGUCCAGUCACUGUCCUGGAUUUGAAACAUAGAUGCAGGAAUAUUAUGAAUGUGAGAUUUUGUCCAUACUUAAAAAAAAUCAACAAUAAACUGCUUAAAGAUC
rnacentral:misc_RNA from 1 species